UGCCAGCCGCCGCGGUAAUACGGAGGGAGCUAGCGUUGUUCGGAAUUACUGGGCGUAAAGCGCACGUAGGCGGACUUUCAAGUGAGGGGUGAAAUCCCAGGGCUCAACCCUGGAACUGCCUUUCAUACUGGCAAUCUAGAGAUCGAGAGAGGUGAGUGGAAUUCCGAGUGUAGAGGUGAAAUUCGUAGAUAUUCGGAGGAACACCAGUGGCGAAGGCGGCUCACUGGCUCGAUACUGACGCUGAGGUGCGAAAGCGUGGGGAGCAAACAGGAUUAGAUA
rnacentral:rRNA from 1 species